UACAGAGGUCUCAAGCGUUGUUCGGAUUCAUUGGGCGUAAAGGGUGCGUAGGCGGCGCGGUAAGUCGGGUGUGAAAUCUUGGAGCUUAACUCCGAAACUGCAUUCGAUACUGCCGUGCUUGAGGACUGGAGAGGAGACUGGAAUUUACGGUGUAGCGGUGAAAUGCGUAGAUAUCGUAAGGAAGACCAGUGGCGAAGGCGGGUCUCUGGACAGUUCCGUGACG
rnacentral:rRNA from 1 species